UACAGAGGGGCAAGCGUUGUUCGGAAUUACUGGGCGUAAAGGGCGCGUAGGCGGCCUGCUAAGUCGAACGUGAAAUCCCUGGGCUCAACCCAGGAACUGCGUCUGAUACUGGAUGGCUUGAGUUCGGGAGAGGGAUGCGGAAUUCCAGGUGUAGCGGUGAAAUGCGCAGAUAUCAGGAGGAACACCGGUGGCGAAGGCGGGUCUCUGGGCCGAUACUGACGCUGAGGAGCGAAAGGCGUGGGGGAGCGAACAGG
rnacentral:rRNA from 1 species